rnacentral:rRNA from 1 species
CCUACGGGUGGCAGCAGUGAGGAAUAUUGGUCAAUGGACGAGAGUCUGAACCAGCCAAGUAGCGUGAAGGAUGACUGCCCUAUGGGUUGUAAACUUCUUUUAUAUGGGAAUAAAACGUUCCACGUGUGGGAUUUUGUAUGUACCAUAUGAAUAAGGAUCGGCUAACUCCGUGCCAGCAGCCGCGGUAAUGCGGAGGAUCCGAGCGUUAUCCGGAUUUAUUGGGUUUAAAGGGAGCGUAGGUGGAUUGUUAAGUCAGUUGUGAAAGUUUGCGGCUCAACCGUAAAAUUGCAGUUGAAACUGGCAGUCUUGAGUACAGUAGAGGUGGGCGGAAUUCGUGGUGUAGCGGUGAAAUGCUUAGAUAUCACGAAGAACUCCGAUUGCGAAGGCAGUUCACUGGACUGCAACUGACACUGAGGCUCGAAAGUGUGGGUAUCAAACAGGAUUAGAUACCCCUGUAGUC